UACAGAGGGUGCAAGCGUUAAUCGGAAUUACUGGGCGUAAAGCGUGCGUAGUCGGUUAUUUAAGUCGGAUGUGAAAUCCCCGGGCUCAACCUGGGAAUUGCAUUCGAUACUGGAUGGCUAGAGUUCGGCAGAGGGAAGUGGAAUUUCUGUGUAGCGGUGAAAUGCGUAGAUAUCAGAAGGAACAUCAGUGGCGAAAGCGACUUCCUGGACCAGAACUGACGAUUAGGCACGAAAGCGUGGGGAGCAAACAGG
rnacentral:rRNA from 1 species